UACGGAGGGGGCGAGCGUUAUUCGGAAUCAUUGGGCGUAAAGGGCAGGUAGGCGGCCGCGCACGUCUCUUGUGAAAGCCCUCGGCUCAACCGAGGAAUGGCAAGGGAAACGACGUGGCUUGAGUCCGGGAGAGGAGAGUGGAAUUCCCAGUGUAGCGGUGAAAUGCGUAGAUAUUGGGAGGAACACCGGUGGCGAAGGCGGCUCUCUGGACCGGCACUGACGCUGAGCUGCGAAAGCUAGGGGAGCAAACGGG
rnacentral:rRNA from 1 species